rnacentral:misc_RNA from 1 species
AAGAAUGAGAUUUUUGAAAUGUGUACCUGAGUUAGUUGUUAUUGAAUCAUGUCACCUCAUGGCAAGUGUUACAAAUGGAAAAUGGGAAAAAAUCCUAAUGAGAGAUUUUAAUCUUGAAAUUUCUCUACUCUCUUAGGAGAAUACCACUACAACUCAUCAUCACUUAUUUGCACUUGUAUAAUCUCUAUUUGAAGUACGACUUGAACUUGAUCUACUUGCAGCAUAAGAUGCACUCGACGUUGAUCCUUGUUGAGGAGAUAACGAAGAAGUGUUGAUUGUAAGGGCGCCAGUACUAUUUGAUCGAUGAUGUCCUGUAGUUAAAGUAACUGGUAGGCUUGUGGCUUCAGAAGCUUCAACUUCUUGAGGCGAUAAUGAAGAACUACUGAUUGUAAGAGCGGCAGUAGUAUUUGAUUGAUGAAGGUGUUUUUGUCUUUUUGACUUAGCCCUUUUUUCUCUUAGCUCGGAUAAAAAUAAUUGCUUUCUCUCUGGU